CCUACGGGAGGCAGCAGUGGGGAAUAUUGGGCAAUGGGCGCAAGCCUGACCCAGCAACGCCGCGUGAAGGAAGAAGGCUUUCGGGUUGUAAACUUCUUUUCUGAGGGACGAAGAAAGUGACGGUACCUCAGGAAUAAGCCACGGCUAACUACGUGCCAGCAGCCGCGGUAAUACGUAGGUGGCAAGCGUUAUCCGGAUUUAUUGGGUGUAAAGGGCGUGUAGGCGGGAAAGCAAGUCAGAUGUGAAAACUCAGGGCUCAACCCUGAGCCUGCAUUUGAAACUGUUUUUCUUGAGUGCUGGAGAGGCAAUCGGAAUUCCGUGUGUAGCGGUGAAAUGCGUAGAUAUACGGAGGAACACCAGUGGCGAAGGCGGAUUGCUGGACAGUAACUGACACUGAGGCUCGAAAGUGUGGGUAUCAAACAGGAUUAGAUACCCGAGUAGUC
rnacentral:rRNA from 1 species